CGGGGAAGAAAGAAUAGAACGACCUACGAGAGAAGAUGUAGCAGCAAUAGUGCGUGUCUCAUGCAUCAUUGUUGUCUCAUAUUGAUGAGUAUUAUAACCUGCCAUUGUAGAGACAAAAGACAGCAACAAAUAGUGAAGAUUAUCCUAAAUAAUUCAACUACGUAGGUGGAGUGAUGCCUCUCUAGAUCACAGCACAAGAAACACCUUAUCAAGUGCUUACAAGGUUCUUACUAUCAAGGCAAAGGAUACCUGGAAGGCGUAGCCCAAGAUUGCAAGGGUCUUUUUCAGUACCGAUCUGAAGUAUAUAUGGAGCUUAGGAGGCACAUAAAAGAAUAAAUAUGUAUAUGUGGCACACAUGCGGAGCUUAGGAGGCACACAAAAGAAUAAAUAUGUAUAUGUGGCACACAAGUCAGUAGCAGAUAGCAAUAUAUUGAAUAAUUGUCCAGAGCACUUGUCCUAGUUGUUGGCCUAUACGUAUUUCUAGCACCAGUUGUGAUAAACAAGGGAGUGAAAUAAGUAUCAAUAGAAACAAGUAUGAAAGGUAGCAUCGGAAAUAUGGACAAGGCAAAAGGCACCACAAACAAUAGAGCUAUUGUGUGUUUCUUGUGUGCUCCUUUAUCGAUCUCUUCUCUUUUCUUUUGUACUAUUUUUUAUUUUCUUUUUUUGUCCAAACUUUUUUAUUUCUUUUGCUCUUUGAUAUUUUUUUCUCAACAAGAAGCACACAAGGUCAAACCACAAAAAAUUUGAGCUCAAUUGGAUAAAAGAUGUGGCCUAUAGAAAAUUAGAAUUGUGCUCCAAAAAGCACACCAAAACUUGUGGGCCCAGAAACUCAGUUUUCUCAUCGAAUUUCACAAAUCUAAUUUUUACGAAUCCAGCUUUGUUGGGAUAAAACAGAUCUAAAAUUUUCUGGUGUUCUUCGUAGAUAUAAAAUUUGCCCCGUUUCGAGUUCGGAUGUAAAAGUUAUGACAGUUUUAAGAAAACUGCUCGAAUCAGGAUUUUAGUGGACACAAGAUGUAAACAAAUGGUGAUACAGGAUGACGGUGGGUGGAGAGAUUAACACAAACUAGAAAAGAGUACAAUCUAAAUCAGCAAUAGGACCUUGACCUAGGACACAAACUCAAUAUGGUGGACUCUGAAACUGAAAUAUGCAAGGCUAUGGCAGGGAUGGUUGUAGGACAGGAAACAAAUAUGGUGGUGGACUAUGGGAUGAAGCAAAAUCAACUAAACUAGGGUAAAUAUGAACUUGAUUUUUUUUAGAUAAUGGAUAGAAGAAUCCGGCCUCUACAUCCUGGGAUGUACACAGCCAAAAAAAACAAAGAUCUAGGAAAAGGAGACGCCUUAGUCUUAUAGAUCGACCAGGACGCUAGUACAAACAAUAAAAGUGUUUCCAUCCUUUAUUGGAAAACUCUAAAGCAAUUACUUCUAAUUUCUUGCUCAACGUUGAUAGUGCGUCCGCGACUAUCUCAUCAUGCUGCAACAGGGCCCA
rnacentral:lncRNA from 1 species